rnacentral:tRNA from 1 species
GGCCCCAUCGUCUAGUGGUUAGGACAUCGGCCUCUCACGUCGGUAACCGGGGUUCAAAUCCCCGUGGGGUCGCCA